rnacentral:rRNA from 1 species
UACGGAGGGUGCGAGCGUUGUCCGGAAUCACUGGGCGUAAAGGGCGCGUAGGUGGCGCGGGCAGUCAACGGUGAAAGUUCGGGGCUCAACCCUGAAUCGGCCGUCGAUACUCCCGUGCUGGAGCACUGUAGAGGCUAAUGGAAUUCCGGGUGUAGCGGUGGAAUGCGUAGAGAUCCGGAAGAACACCGGUGGCGAAGGCGGUUAGCUGGGCAGUUGCUGACACUGAGGCGCGACAGCGUGGGGAGCAA